GACGAACCGUCCAAACGUUAUUCGGAAUCACUGGGCUUAAAGGGCGCGUAGGCGGCCGAGCGGGUCGCGGGUGAAAUCCUCCAGCUUAACUGGAGAACUGCCCUCGAUACCACUGCGGCUCGAGGAAGGAAGGGGUCAUGGGAACUGUCGGUGGAGCGGUGAAAUGCGUUGAUAUCGACAGGAACGCCUGUGGCGAAAGCGCAUGACUGGUCCUUUUCUGACGCUGAGGCGCGAAAGCCAGGGGAGCAAACGGG
rnacentral:rRNA from 2 species